CCUACGGGAGGCAGCAGUGAGGAAUAUUGGUCAAUGGACGAGAGUCUGAACCAGCCAAGUAGCGUGAAGGAUGACUGCCCUAUGGGUUGUAAACUUCUUUUAUAUGGGAAUAAAAUGUUCCACGUGUGGGAUUUUGUAUGUACCAUAUGAAUAAGGGUCGGCUAACUCCGUGCCAGCAGCCGCGGUAAUACGGAGGAUCCGAGCGUUAUCCGGAUUUAUUGGGUUUAAAGGGAGCGUAGGUGGAUUGUUAAGUCAGUUGUGAAAGUUUGCGGCUCAACCGUAAAAUUGCAGUUGAAACUGGCAGUCUUGAGUACAGUAGAGGUGGGCGGAAUUCGUGGUGUAGCGGUGAAAUGCUUAGAUAUCACGAAGAACUCCGAUUGCGAAGGCAGUUCACUGGACUGCAACUGACACUGAGGCUCGAAAGUGUGGGUAUCAAACAGGAUUAGAUACCCGAGUAGUC
rnacentral:rRNA from 1 species